rnacentral:rRNA from 1 species
GAUGAACGCUGGCGGCGUGCCUAAUACAUGCAAGUCGAGCGAACGGACGAGAAGCUUGCUUCUCUGAUGUUAGCGGCGGACGGGUGAGUAACACGUGGAUAACCUACCUAUAAGACUGGGAUAACUUCGGGAAACCGGGGCUAAUACCGGAUGAUAUUUCGAACCGCAUGGUUCAAAAGUGAAAGACGGUCUUGCUGUCACUUAUAGAUGGAUCCGCGCUGCAUUAGCUAGUUGGUAAGGUAACGGCUUACCAAGGCAACGAUGCAUAGCCGACCUGAGAGGGUGAUCGGCCACACUGGAACUGAGACACGGUCCAGACUCCUACGGGAGGCAGCAGUAGGGAAUCUUCCGCAAUGGGCGAAAGCCUGACGGAGCAACGCCGCGUGAGUGAUGAAGGUCUUCGGAUCGUAAAACUCUGUUAUUAGGGAAGAACAUAUGUGUAAGUAACUGUGCACAUCUUGACGGUACCUAAUCAGAAAGCCACGGCUAACUACGUG